UCGUCUGUGGUUUUUGAGUCUACCUCACUUGCCACCGUUUCAAAGUCUAGAGAACACAUUUUGUCUGAGUAGAGUGUGCCAGGAGAAAGCAAAUGAGAUACACUUGCCACCAAGAUGUCUGGGUUCAGAUGGAUUUGAGGAAAAGCCACCACUGCCUCUCCCCACCCCUCAGGUCUGGACCUGUAUCAGGUGUCAUCUGUGAAAGGAAGAUGUAUUCUAUUCUUGGAGUGAAGCCUUGGGAUGAGACAACUUGUUUUUGGAUGUGUUUACCCAAGAGUCUACAACUACACGUUUGCAGUGAUAAAUAUGGAAACUGAGAAGUUUGCUGAGCUGGUCCCAUCUCCACAUUCAUCCAGGCAGAUGGCACAUGCAUCAUACCCAUUUCCUUUCUGGAAAUUACCUAGACAACGCCUCUUAAGAUGAUCUUUAUAAAAUAUUUCUUCUAGUUGGAUGUUUGUCCUGGAAAAAUUGUGUGAAUAUGAAAAUGAGUGUCAGGAUGAGAUGAAUGAAUUAAAAAGAAGGAAGAAUUCCAGAAGUCAGCUUAAUUCUGGAACUGAA